rnacentral:lncRNA from 1 species
GGGACCUCCCCUGCUGUGGUGGCGAGAGAAGCACACUGGCAGAAGGGACCCUGAGCGAACCACAGGGACGCAAGAGGAAGAGGUGGUUCCGCAGGUCAGGCACUCGGGUCUGCCUGCCCUCUCUGUUCCCGCCUCCUCUUGACCUUUCGCCCCCUUCCUCGUAGCUUCCUAAUAUCAUCUUGGAGCACUAGAAUUUUCAGGGGCUCUGACUCUGAGUCCCAGAACCCUGUACCCGCCCUGUGGACAAUGCCGAGCGCGAUGCAGCCGGGCUCUGGAGCCUGACCCGGGGAGGCCGGAUUCAGCAUUUGGACAGCGGCUCGGGGGCCGGUUUGCGGCCCAAAGAGUUUGCAGGUGCACCGCCCUGGAUGAGGCGAGGUAGGGGACACUCUGGGUCUCGGAGGAGCGUGAUCCAGGUUGGAACGCAACCCAGACUGUCAACGAAACACGUUCCUGCGAGCUAAAGAAUCCCUUCCGAGCCCUCAUUGCGACCACCAAACCAGCCAAUCCCUCGUGGGUUCCCUCAGCCAACACUUGUGUGUGUGAAAAGAUCAAAUGCCCCCAUUGCAUCCAGAGCGCAGACGUCCCUCAAAUCCUAGGCUCUCCAUUCUUCCCCGAGCAUCCUGGAUCCCUGGGCUUGGAGCUGCCUGUGAGGCUUCCAGCCCUCUGCUUGUCACCACUUCCCAGGUGGUUGGUGGCUCUGGGUGAACCCAGUGGAGCGGGGCGUUUGCGGGGAGGGCUGUUCGGAUGCAAGCUGGGCGCGGGCAGGCUGGGCCGGGUCGCAGGGCAGGG